GGGGAAUAUUGCACAAUGGGCGAAAGCCUGAUGCAGCAACGCCGCGUGAGUGAUGAAGGUCUUCGGAUUGUAAAGCUCUGUCUUUUGGGACGAUAAUGACGGUACCAAAGGAGGAAGCCACGGCUAACUACGUGCCAGCAGCCGCGGUAAUACGUAGGUGGCGAGCGUUGUCCGGAUUUACUGGGCGUAAAGGGUGCGUAGGCGGAUGUUUAAGUGAGAUGUGAAAUACCCGGGCUUAACUUGGGUGCUGCAUUUCAAACUGGAUAUCUAGAGUGCAGGAGAGGAGAAUGGAAUUCCUAGUGUAGCGGUGAAAUGCGUAGAGAUUAGGAAGAACACCAGUGGCAGAGAUUCUCUGGACUGUAACUGACGCUGAG
rnacentral:rRNA from 1 species